GACGAACGCUGGCGGCAGGCCUAACACAUGCACGUCGAACGAGUGGCGGACGGGUGAGUAAUGUCUGGGAAACUGCCUGCUGGAGGGGGAUAACUACUGGAAACGGUAGCUAAUACCGCAUACCAUCGGAUGUGCCCAGAUGGGAUUAGCUUGGUGGUGGGGUAACGGCUCACCAAGGCGCCGAUCCCUAGCUGGUCUGAGAGGAUGACCCGCCACACUGGAACAUAGACACGGUCCAGACGCCUACGGGAGGCAGCAGUGGGGAAUAUUGCACAAUGGGCGCGAGCCUGAUGCAGCCAUGCCGCGUGUAUGAAGAAUGCCUGCGGGUUGUAAAGUACUUUCAGCGGGGAGGCGUUACCCGCAGAAGAAGCACCGGCUAACUCCGUGCCAGCAGCCGCGGUAAUAC
rnacentral:rRNA from 1 species